CCUACGGGGGGCAGCAGUCGAGAAUCAUUCACAAUGGGGGAAACCCUGAUGGUGCGACGCCGCGUGGGGGAAUGAAGGUCUUCGGAUUGUAAACCCCUGUCAUGUGGGAGCAAAUUAAAAAGAUCGUACCACAAGAGGAAGAGACGGCUAACUCUGUGCCAGCAGCCGCGGUAAUACAGAGGUCUCAAGCGUUGUUCGGAAUCACUGGGCGUAAAGCGUGCGGAGGCUGUUUCGUAAGUCGUGUGUGAAAGGCGCGGGCUCAACCCGCGGACGGCACAUGAUACUGCGAGACUAGAGUAAGGGAGGGGGAACCGGAAUUCUCGGUGUAGCAGUGAAAUGCGUAGAUAUCGAGAGGAACACUCGUGGCGAAGGCGGGUUCCUGGACAGUAACUGACGCUGAGGCACGAAGGCCAGGGGAGCGAAAGGGAUUAGAUACCCGUGUAGUC
rnacentral:rRNA from 1 species